UACCAGCUCUUCGAGUGGUGUGGAUGUUUAUUGGGCCUAAAGCAUCCGUAGCUGGCUGGGCAAGUCCCCUGUUAAAUCCACCGAUUUAAUCGUUGGAGUGCGGGGGAUACUGUUCGGCUAGGGGACGGGAGAGGCAGACGGUAUUUUCGGGGUAGGGGUGAAAUCCUAUAAUCCCGGGAAGACCACCAGUGGCGAAGGCUGUCUGCUAGAACGCGCCCGACGGUGAGGGAUGAAAGCUGGGGGAGCGAACCGGAUUAGAUACCCGGGUAGUCCCAGCUGUAAACGAUGCAGGCUAGGUGUUUGGGCGGCCACGUGCCGCUCUAGUGCCGCAGGGAAGCCGUUAAGCCUGCCGCCUGGGGAGUACGGCCGCAAGGCUGAAAACUUAAAGGAAUUGGCGGGGGAGCACCACAAAGGGGUGAAGCUUGCGGUUUA
rnacentral:rRNA from 1 species